rnacentral:pre_miRNA from 1 species
CCGUCCGUCUUAUUUGAAAAUUUUUUAUGAUUAGUAUUUUUAUUGUUGUUAGAUGAUAAAACAUGAAAGUGAUUUAUGCGUGACUUAUUUUUUAAAAAAUUUUUCAUAAAUUUUUCAAAUAAGACGGACGG